GCUUGUCUCAAAGAUUAAGCCAUGCAUGUUCAAGUAUAGCAAGUGUACAGUGAAACUGCGAAUGGCUCAUUAAAUCAGUUAUAAUUUAUUUGAUAGUGAAAUUGUACAUGGAUAACCGUGGCAAUUCUAGGGCUAAUACAUGCGUCAAUGGUCGGUCGACCAGUAUUUAUUAGAUACAAAGCCAGCCGUCAGGAUCAGGUGAAUCAUGAUAACCAAACGAAUCGCAAGCGCAAGCGGCGAUGGUUCAUUCAAAUUUCUGCCCUAUCAGCUUCCGACGGUAGGGUAUUGGCCUACCGUGGCAAUGACGGGUAACGGAGAAUUAGGGUUCGAUUCCGGAGAGGGAGCCUGAGAAACGGCUACCACAUCCAAGGAAGGCAGCAGG
rnacentral:rRNA from 1 species